rnacentral:SRP_RNA from 16 species
CUCAUCGCCUUCGAGGAGCUCCGGCCGCGGACCUGAUUCAGGCUUGAAGCCUGCGAGCGUCCGGUGCUGCAUAAAGUGCUCGCGCACCGCGUCAGGCUUGAAAC